rnacentral:lncRNA from 1 species
CACUAAAAUCAUUAGUAAUUAUAUAUAAUCCCUGAAAAUGACCAGUGAUUUUACAUAAUCACUGAACAUUUUAAUAAUUAUUCUACAAAUUCCCUAAUAUGAUUUCAGGGAUUAUGAAUAAUUUAAUGGUCCUUUGUUUCAUAAACAAAAUUAAUAUAGACAAAUUAUAAUUUUAGGUUUCUUUCAUUUUCCUUGCCAGAUGAAAUAAUUUAGCUUUUAAACAAAGAGGAUGAUCUAAAAGAUAUAACCAACACAAGGUUUCGAGAUAUAGUUGAAGACUUCAAAAUUAAAAAUAUUAACCUUCCCUUUAUAACGAUAGCUUUACAUGUAUUGUUUGUUUAUUAAAAGCCAUCGUCAAAGGGAUAUUCAUGCUCUAUUUGUAAAUCUACGAGCAUGUUAUUUGUGAUACAUGUAAAGCAAAUGGUGAAGUAGAUUAUGGAACAACUGUUUGUGUGGGUUUUUUUUUUUUGGUUCAAAGAACAAUUCGCAAGAAAUUCAAACGGUGAGAACUUAGGCAUUUAAAUGUAAAGAAGAACAGGCAGAACUUGGGAUUGACAAAUAGAACAAACUUUAAGAGGAAGCUUGCAUAUUCUCAUAGCAAUUUGACAGGAUAAAAACGAAAAGGGAAACUAAAAAA